rnacentral:rRNA from 1 species
GCGGCGUGCCUAAUACAUGCAAGUCGAACGCUUCUUUUCCCACCGGAGCUUGCUCCACCGGGAAAAGAGGAGUGGCGAACGGGUGAGUAACACGUGGGUAACCUGCCCAUCAGAAGGGGAUAACACUUGGAAACAGGUGCUAAUACCGUAUAACAAUCGAAACCGCAUGGUUUCGUUUUGAAAGGCGCUUUACGGUGCCGCUGAUGGAUGGACCCGCGGUGCAUUAGCUAGUUGGUGAGGUAACGGCUCACCAAGGCCACGAUGCAUAGCCGACCUGAGAGGGUGAUCGGCCACAUUGGGACUGAGACACGGCCCAAACUCCUACGGGAGGCAGCAGUAGGGAAUCUUCGGCAAUGGACGAAAGUCUGACCGAGCAACGCCGCGUGAGUGAAGAAGGUUUUCGGAUCGUAAAACUCUGUUGUUAGAGAAGAACAAGGGUGAGAGUAACUGUUCACCCCUUGACGGUAUCUAACCAGAAAGCCACGGCUAACUACGUGCCAGCAGCCGCGGUAAUACGUAGGUGGCAAGCGUUGUCCGGAUUUAUUGGGCGUAAAGCGAGCGCAGGCGGUUUCUUAAGUCUGAUGUGAAAGCCCCCGGCUCAACCGGGGAGGGUCAUUGGAAACUGGGAGACUUGAGUGCAGAAGAGGAGAGUGGAAUUCCAUGUGUAGCGGUGAAAUGCGUAGAUAUAUGGAGGAACACCAGUGGCGAAGGCGGCUCUCUGGUCUGUAACUGACGCUGAGGCUCGAAAGCGUGGGGAGCAAACAGGAUUAGAUACCCUGGUAGUCCACGCCGUAAACGAUGAGUGCUAAGUGUUGGAGGGUUUCCGCCCUUCAGUGCUGCAGCUAACGCAUUAAGCACUCCGCCUGGGGAGUACGACCGCAAGGUUGAAACUCAAAGGAAUUGACGGGGGCCCGCACAAGCGGUGGAGCAUGUGGUUUAAUUCGAAGCAACGCGAAGAACCUUACCAGGUCUUGACAUCCUUUGACCACUCUAGAGAUAGAGCUUCCCCUUCGGGGGCAAAGUGACAGGUGGUGCAUGGUUGUCGUCAGCUCGUGUCGUGAGAUGUUGGGUUAAGUCCCGCAACGAGCGCAACCCUUAUUGUUAGUUGCCAUCAUUUAGUUGGGCACUCUAGCAAGACUGCCGGUGACAAACCGGAGGAAGGUGGGGAUGACGUCAAAUCAUCAUGCCCCUUAUGACCUGGGCUACACACGUGCUACAAUGGGAAGUACAACGAGUCGCGAAGUCGCGAGGCUAAGCUAAUCUCUUAAAGCUUCUCUCAGUUCGGAUUGUAGGCUGCAACUCGCCUACAUGAAGCCGGAAUCGCUAGUAAUCGCGGAUCAGCACGCCGCGGUGAAUACGUUCCCGGGCCUUGUACACACCGCCCGUCACACCACGAGAGUUUGUAACACCCGAAGUCGGUGAGGUAACCUUUUUGGAGCCAGCCGCCUAAGGUGGAUAG